rnacentral:rRNA from 1 species
AGUGGCGGACGGGUGAGUAACGCGUGGGUAACCUGCCUUAUACAGGGGGAUAACAGUCAGAAAUGGCUGCUAAUACCGCAUAAGCGCACAGAGCUGCAUGGCUCAGUGUGAAAAACUCCGGUGGUAUAAGAUGGACCCGCGUUGGAUUGGCUGGUUGGUGGGGUAACGGCCCACCAAGGCGACGAUCAGUAGCCGACCUGAGAGGGUGACCGGCCACAUUGGGACUGAGACACGGCCCAGACUCCUACGGGAGGCAGCAGUGGGGAAUAUUGCACAAUGGAGGAAACUCUGAUGCAGCGACGCCGCGUGAGUGAAGAAGUAAUUCGUUAUGUAAAGCUCUAUCAGCAGGGAAGAUAGUGACGGUACCUGACUAAGAAGCUCCGGCUAAAUACGUGCCAGCAGCCGCGGUAAUACGUAUGGAGCAAGCGUUAUCCGGAUUUACUGGGUGUAAAGGGAGUGUAGGUGGCAUCACAAGUCAGAAGUGAAAGCCCGGGGCUCAACCCCGGGACUGCUUUUGAAACUGUGGAGCUGGAGUGCAGGAGAGGCAAGUGGAAUUCCUAGUGUAGCGGUGAAAUGCGUAGAUAUUAGGAGGAACACCAGUGGCGAAGGC